rnacentral:lncRNA from 1 species
CCGAUAUCCUGUCGCUUAUAUACUAGUAAUAGCCUAUAUUUGAGUGAUUGCAUCCAUUAUAUUCAAGUAAACAGUAGUAUGAGGAAGAACGAUUGAAAUCGACACUAUACACUAGUUUUUACGGUCACCAUCAAAAUAAUAUUAAUUCUUUAUUGUCAUAUAAGUAAAACAUGAUACUUGUGACAUAAUAUAAAUAAUAACAAUAAAAAAAAAACUGAUUUAAAUACAAUAAAAAAUAACUAACAGACCCC